GACGGGGCCCGCACAAGCGGUGGAGCAUGUGGUUAAUUCGAUGAUACGCGAGGAACUUACCUGGGCUCAAAUGUAUGUUGACGUAUUCUGAAAGGGAUACUUCUUCGGACAAUAUACAAGGUGCUGCAUGGUUGUCGUCAGCUCGUGCCGUGAGGUGUCGGGUUAAGUCCCAUAACGAGCGCAACCCUAUCAUUAGUUGCCAUCAGGUCAAGCUGGGGACUCUAAUGAAACUGCCUACGCAAGUAGUGAGGAAGGUGGGGAUGACGUCAAAUCAGCACGGCCCUUACGUCCAGGGCUACACACGUGCUACAAUGGCCGGUACAAAGGGCAGCUACCUGGUGACAGGAUGCUAAUCUCAAAAGCCGGUCUCAGUUCGGAUUGGAGGCUGCAACUCGCCUCCAUGAAGUCGGAAUCGCUAGUAACCGCAGAUCAGCUACGUUGCGGUGAAUACGUUCCCGGGCCUU
rnacentral:rRNA from 1 species